ensembl:snRNA U7 U7 small nuclear RNA
GAGUGUUACAGCUCUUUUAUAGUUUGUCUAGCAUGCUUUCCGGUUCUUUCCUGAAGACCCCA